rnacentral:rRNA from 1 species
AAGGAAUAUUGGUCAAUGGACGAAAGUCUGAACCAGCCAUGCCGCGUGAAGGAUGAAGGCCCUCUGGGUUGUAAACUUCUUUUAUCUGGGACGAAAAAAGGGGAUUCUUCCUCACUUGACGGUACCAGAGGAAUAAGCACCGGCUAACUCCGUGCCAGCAGCCGCGGUAAUACGGAGGGUGUAAGCGUUAUCCGGAUUCACUGGGUUUAAAGGGUGCGUAGGUGGGUCUGUAAGUCAGUGGUGAAAUCUCCAAGCUUAACUUGGAAACUGCCAUUGAUACUAUAGGUCUUGAAUUAUCUGGAGGUGAGCGGAAUAUGUCAUGUAGCGGUGAAAUGCUUAGAUAUGACAUAGAACACCCAUUGCGAAGGCAGCUCACUACGGAUAUAUUGACACUGAGGCACGAAAGCGUGGGGAUCAAAC